GACGAACGCUGGCGGCGUGCUUAAUACAUGCAAGUCGAGCGAGGCCUUGGAAUUGGAGUCCUUCGGGAUGAAGAGUCCUUGGCCUAGCGGCGGACGGGUGAGUAACGCGUGGGCAACCUACCCCAAAGUCCGGGAUAACAGUGGGAAACCGCUGCUAAUACCGGAUGGCUUUACCUGAGGGCAUCCUCGGGUAAAGAAAGGUUACGCUUUGGGAUGGGCCCGCGUCCCAUUAGCUAGUUGGUGAGGUAACGGCUCACCAAGGCGACGAUGGGUAGCCGGCCUGAGAGGGUGAACGGCCACACUGGGACUGAGACACGGCCCAGACUCCUACGGGAGGCAGCAGUAGGGAAUAUUGCGCAAUGGGCGGAAGCCUGACGCAGCGACGCCGCGUGAGCGAAGAAGGCCUUCGGGUCGUAAAGCUCUGUCCUUGGGGAAGAAGGCGAAAGCUUGACGGUACCCAAGAAGAAAGCCCCGGCUAACUACGUGCCAGCAGCCGCGGUAAUACGUAGGGGGCGAGCGUUGUCCGGAAUUACUGGGCGUAAAGGGUGCGUAGGCGGCCUUUUAAGUCAGAUGUGAAAGGCUGCGGCUUAACCGCAGGACUGCAUUUGAAACUGGAAGGCUUGAGUGUCGGAGAGGGUAGUGGAAUUCCCAGUGUAGCGGUGAAAUGCGUAGAUAUUGGGAGGAACACCAGUGGCGAAGGCGACUACCUGGACGAUAACUGACGCUGAGGCACGAAAGCUAGGGGAGCAAACAGG
rnacentral:rRNA from 1 species